rnacentral:rRNA from 1 species
UACGUAGGGGGCAAGCGUUAUCCGGAUUCACUGGGUGUAAAGGGAGCGUAGACGGCGACGCAAGUCUGGAGUGAAAGCCCGGGGCCCAACCCCGGGACUGCUCUGGAAACUGCGUCGCUGGAGUACGGGAGGGGCAGGCGGAAUUCCUGGUGUAGCGGUGAAAUGCGUAAAUAUCAGGAGGAACACCGGCGGCGAAGGCGGCCUGCUGGACCGUGACUGACGUUGAGGCUCGAGAGCGUGGGGAGCAAACAGG